CUGACCAGAUCUACCUUGGGAACCUGAGCUCCUGACCGGCUGGAACAGACUCCUUUUGGGAUGCCAGACAGGAAUAAGUGACAGAGGGGCGAUGCAUCUUCACAUUUUGAAAGGAUUGCUCCCUUCCUGGCGGGGCUGUCACUGCUGAGUGCAGCCUCGUGGCGGGAGCUGAGAGGUGAGGGUUUGGAUGGCAGCGUGACACAGCUGUAUCUGCAGAGCCACAGUGGCACCACUCAGUGCCAUUCAGAAGACCGAUGCGCUCUUCCAGCCAACGCCGCGUGCUCUUCUUCACUUGGAGCGCGUGGGCAGCCUGCACAAAGCCCAAACCCUGCCCGAGUCCCACACCUGGAGAACGGCCCAGGGGAAUGCUCGUGUCUCAGCAGCAUGACCACCCCUCCGAAAGAAAUGGUGUUCGGGAACAAACCUGCGUUUGCAUGGUUUUGUAAAAGGAGUGCUGGAAAAAGAAUGGGAAGCUUUCCUGCAAAGAGCAUAUGCUGCGGCUUCCUGAACCAAGAGCCCAGCUCUGGUGAGGAUUCUGGCAGUUUAGAGCCUUUCAAUAUUAAAGGACUCUCUAGCAGAUUAGAGUGGCAUAAUCAAAGCUAAUAAAAAUGAAACUGGGCAAAUUCAGGGGGAGAAAUUAAGACACGCAUCUUUAACAACAAUAGAAUUAAUCACUGAACAGCAGAAUUAAAUCACUGCAACGGGCUCCAAAGGGAUGGGGCAAAUGCACCUGGAGCUGCAGCCCCUGAGCACAGGGCCUCACC
rnacentral:lncRNA from 7 species